UACGGAGGGUGCAAGCGUUAUCCGGAUUCACUGGGUUUAAAGGGUGCGUAGGUGGGUUUGUAAGUCAGUGGUGAAAGCCCGGAGCUCAACUCCGGAACUGCCAUUGAUACUGCUUAACUUGAAUCAAGUAGAGGUGGAUGGAAUAAUACAUGUAGCGGUGAAAUGCUUAGAUAUGUAUUAGAACACCGAUUGCGAAGGCAGUUCACUAUGCUUGUAUUGACACUGAGGCACGAAAGCGUGGGGAUCAAACAGG
rnacentral:rRNA from 1 species